ACACAUGCAAGUCGAGGGGCAGCGCGGGAUAGCAAUAUCCUGGCGGCGACCGGCGGAAGGGUGCGUAACGCGUGAGCGACAUGCCCGUUGCCCGGGGACAACCGGUGGAAACGCCGACUAAUCCCCGAUGGGAUAUUGUGCCGCAUGGCACGAUAUUGAAAGUUACGGCGGCGACGGAUUGGCUCGCGUCCGAUUAGCUUGUUGGCGGGGUAACGGCCCACCAAGGCUACGAUCGGUAGGGGUUCUGAGAGGAAGGCCCCCCACAAUGGGACUGAGACACGGCUCAUACUCCUACGGGAGGCAGCAGUGAGGAAUAUUGGUCAAUGGGCGGAAGCCUGAACCAGCCAUGCCGCGUGCGGGAAGGAGGCCCUAUGGGCUGUGAACCGCUUUUGCCUGGGGGCAAUAAGGACGUCGCGCACGCCCGAUGAGAGUACCAGGCGAAUAAGCAUCGGCUAACUCCGUGCCAGCAGCCGCGGUAAUACGGGGGAUGCGAGCGUUAUCCGGAUUCAUUGGGUUUAAAGGGUGCGUAGGCUGUGCGUCAAGUCGGGGGUGAAAUUCCGGUGCUCAACACCGGGGCUGCCCUUGAUACUGUCGCGCUGGAGUGCGGAUGCCGCCGGAGGAAUGAGUGGUGUAGCGGUGAAAUGCUUAGAUAUCACUCAGAACACCGAUUGCGAAGGCAUCUGGCGAAUCCGUAACUGACGCUGAGGCACGAAAGCGUGGGGAUAGAACAGGAUUAGAUACCCUGGUAUUCCACGCCGUAAACGAUGAUGGCUAACCGCCGGCGACACACUGUCGG
rnacentral:rRNA from 1 species